AUAUAUACCUGGCUGGGGAGAUACCAUGAUCAAUAAAAUGGUUUUCCUAGGGCAAGUUUUGUCCAUUACACUUGGGAUGUGCUAACCCCUGCAAUUUCCCCAAAUAUAGAAAAUUCAACUGCCUAAUUUGUGGUAGUGAAGGACUUCAUUCUCCUCUG